rnacentral:tRNA from 2 species
UAUAAAGUAGGCUAAACAAGCUUUUGGGCCCAUACCCCAAAAAUGAAGGUUAAACCCCUUCCUUUAUAA